UACGGGGGGGGCAAGCGUUGUUCGGAAUUACUGGGCGUAAAGGGCUCGUAGGCGGCCAACUAAGUCAGACGUGAAAUCCCCAGGCUCAACCUGGGAACUGCGUCUGAUACUGGAUGGCUUGAAUCCGGGAGAGGGAUGCAGAAUUCCAGGUGUAGCGGUGAAAUGCGCAGAUAUCAGGAAGAACACCCGUGGCGAAGGCGGCUCUCUGGGACGGUACUGACGCUGAGACGCGAAAGCGUGGGGAGCGAACAGG
rnacentral:rRNA from 1 species